rnacentral:rRNA from 1 species
CAGCAGUAGCCACGGGAAUACAGAGGGUGCGAGCGUUAAUCGGAUUUACUGGGCGUAAAGCGUGCGUAGGCGGCUUCUUAAGUCGGAUGUGAAAUCCCUGAGCUUAACUUAGGAAUUGCAUUCGAUACUGGGAAGCUAGAGUAUGGGAGAGGAUGGUAGAAUUCCAGGUGUAGCGGUGAAAUGCGUAGAGAUCUGGAGGAAUACCGAUGGCGAAGGCAGCCAUCUGGCCUAAUACUGACGCUGAGGUACGAAAGCAUGGGGAGCAAACAGGAUUAGAUACCCCUGUAGUCCCUGUCUCUUAUAC